rnacentral:rRNA from 1 species
UACAGAGGGGGCAAGCGUUAUUCGGAAUUAUUGGGCGUAAAGGGCGCGUAGGCGGCCUGGCAAGUGGAUGGUGAAAUCCCUCGGCUUAACCGAGGAACUGCCAUCCAGACUGCUUGGCUUGAGACCGGGAGAGGUGAGUCGGAAUUCCCAGUGUAGCGGUGAAAUGCGUAGAUAUUGGGAGGAACACCAGUGGCGAAGGCGGCUCACUGGACCGGUACUGACGCUGAGGCGCGAAAGCGUGGGGAGCAAACGGG